rnacentral:misc_RNA from 1 species
CAACCCUCAAGCUCUGCUUGGUAUUGGGUGCCACCUCACAUGGUGCACCUCAAAAUCAGUGGCGGUGCCAUGUGGCUUCCAAGUAUAGUAAUAUUUCUUGCUUUGGAAGUUUGGAUGUGUGCUUGCCAACAACCCUCCAAUCUAUCAAAGG